UUCAGAAAGAAGUAGGGGAAAAAAUUAGGAACAAAAACUCCUUUUAGGUUAAUUUGAUUUGAAAUAUUAGAAUGAAUAAGUAUUUAACAACAUUAAAGAGGGUCUAUUAUUGUAGGUAAGAGUAAGGAAAUUAGAGACAGUUGGGGAAGAAGCAUAAAGGCAAUAGAUUUUCCUAGGCAUUUUAACAAAUAUUUGUUGAGUGACUACACAUCCUUUCUGGAACAAGAUGAGGGGAGAAUAAAUGUAUAUAUACAAACAUAUACAAAUAUUGAAUUCUGUUCAUGUGCGAAGCUUCUACAGGGAAAAGAAAAAUAAAUAACUAUGAUUUCCUGUCUUCAAAAAGCCUGCAGGCUAGUAGAAGAUGGCAUGAGAAAUAUACUAUCUUCUAAGACAACGAAAAGCCUAUAGAUUUCAAAGGAAAAUAUACCAUGUCUGGUGGGGAAAAUUAGGAAAGGCUUUAUGGAGAGCAUCCUGUCUGAAGUGUAUCCCUAACCAUGGACAGGACAGCAGUCCGUGGAGAUGUUGGAAGGGCAUACAAAACAAAGGGAACAGCAUGGCCCAAGGCACGGAGGAGGGAAGAUACAGGGUAUGUUUGGAGUCUUUAAUAAUCAAGUUGAUGAAAGGGUAGAAUCUCAAUGGGAAGCAGUUGGAAAUGGACUAAAAAAUGAAAACCCCAAACAAAAGAAGACAAACAAAAACAAAUAAGAUUAAGAUUAUUUAUAAUAGAUGGGGAGAUUAAAAGAAAGAAGAGAUGAGAGAGGCAAAGUGCGUAGGAAUAGACAUUUGAUUUGAUGUAGGCAAAUAAAAAAGAGGAAGGAAUAAAAGAUAAUCCUGAGGUUUUCAACAUGGGUGUCUGAAGACAUUAAUAAGGAUAGAGAGAGCGGUCAGGUAAAUGGAAAGAUGAUGGGUUCAGGAUUGCCUUGUGGAGUGUGCGGUAAAUUAUCCAUGUAAUAAAGAGGUGGAGAAAGCCCCUGAGAUUUGGAUCUGGAGGUCAAGAGAGUGAUAAGGAUUACAGAUAUUGGAGUCACCUCAAAAAGAGCAAUUUCUGACAUUUUGAGAAUGGGUAAUAGCGGAAGAUGGUGUCUAGUGAGGAAGGCCAGGAUAUGCCCUUAGGUGUGACUGUCUUCGGGUGAUGAAAAAGAGGAAGAGAAGUCAGUGAAAGUGUGAGGAUGUGGCAGAAGAUACAGGAACAGGAUUUUGUGUAGUUUAGCAUCACAGAAGUUAAGAGAAGUUUGCUUUGAGAAGGCUUCUACAGUGUAGAGGAUGAAUCUGAAAGUGUUUAGUCUUUGACUUUCACCAUUAGAAGGUUUUUGGUAGCUUCUAGUAACUGGGAUGCAGUGCAGAUUAUAAGAAAUGAGGGAGCGGACAGGCAGCUUCCUGUCAGCCCAGACUGUCUCAGAAGCCUCUGUUGGGAGACUAAGCACUAAUUUUGUGACAUUCUUUCUCUUGAAUCAUUCAUUCCUCCAAGAGAUAUUCAUUGAGGAUGUAUCUAUUACUUUACCUGUCGUGAGGUGAGCGGUUAUAUAUGUACAAAGAAAUUGAGAUUAUAAUCCCUAUCAUCUCCAGCUCUGGGCUUAAGAAAACAGCUAACCGAGCAGUUGCUUGAAAAAAAUGACAGGAAGAAAUUUUUAGUAAUUAGGCUUCUAACUAACUUUGUUGCUGUCCAUAUUUCUUCUCCUUCAAACCUCUGAGAAUCUAAGAGCUGCCACCCUAAGUACUUGUCCUACUUGCCCUUAUGCAGCUUGGGCUAAAGAGAAUGUUUUUGGUAAAAUAAAUAAACUAGAAAUGAUAGGGGGUUAAAAUGAAAUAAACUCACCCUAGCACUUUUUCACAGUUAGAAGCAAGGUAAUUUAAAUUUAAGUGGCUAUUUUUGAUCUUUCUUGUACAGACCUCAUUGCUUGAGUUAUGUUGCCGCAGAGAGAUGGGUGCUUCUCAAUCUGUGCUGCAUGGGGAUGUAUCUGCAUUUUGCCUUAAAAUUUACCUCCUGUGCAUG
rnacentral:lncRNA from 1 species